CCUACGGGUGGCUGCAGUGGGGAAUAUUGGACAAUGGGGGGAACCCUGAUCCAGCCAUGCCGCGUGUGUGAAGAAGGCCCUCGGGUUGUAAAGCACUUUCAGUGAGGAAGAACGCCUGGUGGUUAAUACCCAUCAGGAAAGACAUCACUCACAGAAGAAGCACCGGCUAACUCCGUGCCAGCAGCCGCGGUAAUACGGAGGGUGCGAGCGUUAAUCGGAAUUACUGGGCGUAAAGCGCGCGUAGGUGGCUUGAUAAGCCGGUUGUGAAAGCCCCGGGCUCAACCUGGGAACGGCAUCCGGAACUGUCAAGCUAGAGUGCAGGAGAGGAAGGUAGAAUUCCCGGUGUAGCGGUUAAAUGCGUAGAGAUCGGGAGGAAUACCAGUGGCGAAGGCGGCCUUCUGGACUGACACUGACACUGAGGUGCGAAAGCGUGGGUAGCAAACAGGAUUAGAUACCCCUGUAGUC
rnacentral:rRNA from 1 species